rnacentral:rRNA from 1 species
CCCUUAGAUGUUCUGGGCCGCACGCGCGCUACACUGACGAAUGCAACGAGCUUAUAACCUUGGCCGAAAGGUCUGGGUAAUCUCCAAAUUUCGUCGUGAUGGGGAUAGAUUAUUGCAAUUAUUAAUCUUCAACGAGGAAUGCCUAGUAAGCCCAAGUCAUCAGCUUGCGUUGAUUACGUCCCUGCCCUUUGUACACACCGCCCGUCGCUCCUACCGAUUGAAUGGUCCGGUGAAGCGUUCGGACCGUGGCCUUUGGACGGUUCGCCGUCUGUUGGCUGCGGGAAGUUCGUUAAACCUUAUCAUUUAGAGGAAGGAGAAGUCGUAACA